rnacentral:rRNA from 1 species
CCUACGGGAGGCAGCAGUGAGGAAUAUUGGUCAAUGGCCGUAAGGCUGAACCAGCCAAGUAGCGUGAGGGAAGACUGCCCUAUGGGUUGUAAACCUCUGUUAUGCGGGGAGAAAGGGGGCCACGUGUGGAUGUUUGCAGGUACCGCAUGAAUAAGGACCGGCUAAUUCCGUGCCAGCAGCCGCGGUAAUACGGAAGGGCCGGGCGUUAUCCGGAUUUAUUGGGGUUAAAGGGAGCGUAGGCCGGUCUUUAAGCGUGCCGUGAACUUUUGUGGCUCAACCCUGAGAGGGCGGGGCGAACGGGCGACCUUGAGUGCGCGGCAGGCCGGCGGCAUUCGUGGUGUAGCGGU